GCCACAUCACGUUGAAAUAUUAGUCCCCUUACGAUCAGCGAAGUUAAGCAACGUCGGGGCGGAUUAGUACUAAGGUGGGUGAACGUUUAGGAAUAUCAGGUGCCAUA